rnacentral:lncRNA from 1 species
GUAUUUUCACUAGAUGUGCACCAGAGAUUGAGAAUCUCCACGGACAAGGAGGUAAACUUUUCAAUUUAGCAAGUUUUUUCCUCUUUAAUUUUUCUAACGGGUAAAAGGUGGAAUUUUUCCCCAAGGCCGUGACUUUUAAAAGCUGCACAACUGGAGAGAGCUUUCUUGUGUAUAAAAUACAAAGCUUAUGUUAUAUCACACCUAAUCUAAACUACUACAACAGUUAGAGUUUGCAAUUGGAAGCUCAGAUUUCGUCCCCUUAUCAAUUCAGGAUAACAAAUUUCCUAGUCGAUCUUGGCCCAUUUUAAUGCCAGAGACACAGAGCCAAAAACAGAGGAGCACUUACCUAAGCGAGCCAGAGAUGAGCAGUGAUGAACCAGCGAUGAACCAGUGAGAUCUUGGUGCUUCGUCUUCGACACUCGGCAGCGAUGAACCAGCACGGCAGGACACAGCCGACAGGAGACGUAGAGCGCGGCGGAAUGGCGGAUGCCGGAGAGGCGGAGAGCAGCUUCGAUUUGGGAAUUGGGACUUGGGACUUGGGAGUGUUAGUGCGGUGAAAGCCCUAGGCGACGGCAGUCACGGCACUAUGCAAUAUUGCAAAUUUGCAAUGGUUGUUUUCUCACUUUCAUCAGCUGAAGAUGAAAUCCGAC